UGGGGAAUAUUGGACAAUGGGCGAAAGCCUGAUCCAGCCAUGCCGCAUGAGUGAAGAAGGCCUUUGGGUUGUAAAGCUCUUUUAGUGAGGAAGAUAAUGACGGUACUCACAGAAGAAGUCCUGGCUAACUCCGUGCCAGCAGCCGCGGUAAUACGGAGAGGGCUCGCGUUAUUCGGAAUUAUUGGGCGUAAAGGGCGCGUAGGCUGGUUAAUAAGUUAAAAGUGAAAUCCCGAGGCUUAACCUCGGAAUUGCUUUUAAAACUAUUAAUCUAGAGAUUGAAAGAGGAUAGAGGAAUUCCUGAUGUAGAGGUAAAAUUCGUAAAUAUUAGGAGGAACACCAGUGGCGAAGGCGUCUAUCUGGUUCAAAUCUGACGCUGAAGCGCGAAGGCGUGGGGAGCAAACA
rnacentral:rRNA from 1 species